rnacentral:tRNA from 1 species
GCCCGGGUGGCGAAACUGGUAGACGCAAGGGACUUAAAAUCCCUCGGUAGAAAUACCGUGCCGGUUCGACUCCGGCCCCGGGCACCA